rnacentral:rRNA from 1 species
GAUGAACGCUGGCGGCGUGCCUAAUACAUGCAAGUCGAGCGAACAGACGAGGAGCUUGCUCCUCUGACGUUAGCGGCUGACGGGUGAGUAACACGUGGAUAACCUACCUAUAUGACUGGGAUAACUUCGGGAAACCGGAGCUAAUACCGGAUAAUAUAUUGUACCGCAUGGUUCAUUAGUGAAUGACGGUUUUUCUGUCACUUAUAGAUGGUUCCAGGCUGCCUUAGCUAGUUGGUAAGGUAACGGCUUACCAAGGCGACGAUGCGUAGCCGACCUGAGAGGGUGAUCGGCCACACUGGAACUGAGACACGGUCCAGACUCCUACGGGAGGCAGCAGUAGGGAAUAUUCCGCAAUGGGCGAAAGCCUGACGGAGCAACGCCGCGUGAGUGAUGAAGGUCUUCGGAUCGUAAAACUCUGUUAUUAGGGAAGAAAAAAAGUGGAAGAAAAUAUGGACGUCUUGACGGUACCUAAACAGAAAGCAACGGCUAACUACGUG